rnacentral:rRNA from 1 species
UGAGACUAUAAGUCUCCUGAAGGAACGUUGAAGACGACGACGUUGAUAGGCCGGGUGUGUAAGCGCAGCGAUGCGUUGAGCUAACCGGUACUAAUGAACCGUGAGGCUUAACCUUACAACGCCGAAGGUGUUU